CAUACAAGGCAUACGGCUCAGUAACGCGUAGUCAACCUAACCUAUGGACGGGAAUAACCUCGGGAAACUGAGAAUAAUGCCCGAUAGAACAUUAUGCCUGGAAUGGUUUAUGUUCCAAAUGAUUUAUCGCCGUAGGAUGGGACUGCGGCCUAUCAGUUUGUUGGUGAGGUAAUGGCCCACCAAGACUAUUACAGGUACGGGCUCUGAGAGGAGUAGCCCGGAGAUGGGUACUGAGACACGGACCCAGGCCCUAUGGGGCGCAGCAGGCGAGAAAACUUUGCAAUGUGCGAAAGCACGACAAGGUUAAUCCGAGUGGUUUCUGCUAAAGAAACCUUUUGUCAGUCCUAGAAACACUGAUGAAUAAGGGGUGGGCAAGUUCUGGUGUCAGCCGCCGCGGUAAAACCAGCACCUCAAGUGGUCAGGAUGAUUAUUGGGCCUAAAGCAUCCGUAGCCGGCUCUGUAAGUUUUCGGUUAAAUCUGUACGCUCAACGAACAGGCUGCCGGGAAUACUGCAGAGCUAGGGAGUGGGAGAGGUAGACGGUACUCGGUAGGAAGGGGUAAAAUCCUUUGAUCUAUUGAUGACCACCUGUGGCGAAGGCGGUCUACCAGAACACGUCCGACGGUGAGGGAUGAAAGCUGGGGGAGCAAACCGGAUUAGAUACCCGGGUAGUCCCAGCUGUAAACUAUGCAAACUCAGUGAUGCAUUGGCUUGUGGCCAAUGCAGUGCUGCAGGGAAGCCGUUAAGUUUGCCGCCUGGGAAGUACGUACGCAAGUAUGAAACUUAAAGGAAUUGGCGGGGGAGCACCACAAGGGGUGAAGCCUGCGGUUCAAUUGGAGUCAACGCCGGA
rnacentral:rRNA from 1 species